rnacentral:rRNA from 1 species
AGAGUUUGAUCCUGGCUCAGAUUGAACGCUGGCGGCAGGCCUAACACAUGCAAGUCGAACGGUAGCACAGAGGAGCUUGCUCCUUGGGUGACGAGUGGCGGACGGGUGAGUAAUGUCUGGGAAACUGCCCGAUGGAGGGGGAUAACUACUGGAAACGGUAGCUAAUACCGCAUAACGUCGCAAGACCAAAGAGGGGGACCUUCGGGCCUCUUGCCAUCGGAUGUGCCCAGAUGGGAUUAGCUAGUAGGUGGGGUAACGGCUCACCUAGGCGACGAUCCCUAGCUGGUCUGAGAGGAUGACCAGCCACACUGGAACUGAGACACGGUCCAGACUCCUACGGGGGGCAGCAGUGGGGAAUAUUGCACAAUGGGCGCAAGCCUGAUGCAGCCAUGCCGCGUGUAUGAAGAAGGCCUUCGGGUUGUAAAGUACUUUCAGCGAGGAGGAAGGCGUUGUGGUUAAUAACCGCAACGAUUGACGUUACUCGCAGAAGAAGCACCGGCUAACUCCGUGCCAGCCGCCGCGGUAAAAGGG